rnacentral:rRNA from 1 species
UACGUAGGGGGCGAGCGUUGUCCGGAAUGACUGGGCGUAAAGGGCGUGUAGGCGGUUGAAUAAGUCUGGAGUGAAAGUCCCGGUUUCAAGUUGGGAACUGCUUUGGAUACUGUUCAACUUGAGUGCGGAAGAGGUAAGUGGAAUUCCCAGUGUAGCGGUGAAAUGCGUAGAGAUUGGGAGGAACACCAGUGGCGAAGGCGACUUACUGGGCCGUAACUGACGCUGAGGCGCGAAAGCGUGGGGAGCGAAC